rnacentral:rRNA from 1 species
CCUACGGGGGGCAGCAGUGAGGAAUAUUGGUCAAUGGGCGCAAGCCUGAACCAGCCAAGUAGCGUGAAGGAUGACUGCCCUACAGGUUGUAAACUUCUUUUAUAAAGGAAUAAAGUGAGUCACGUGUGCCUUUUUGCAUGUACUUUAUGAAUAAGGAUCGGCUAACUCCGUGCCAGCAGCCGCGGUAAUACGGAGGAUCCGAGCGUUAUCCGGAUUUAUUGGGUUUAAAGGGAGCGUAGAUGGGUUGUUAAGUCAGUUGUGAAAGUUUCGGGCUCAACCGUAAAAUUGCAGUUGAUACUGGCAGCCUUGAGUACAGUUGAGGUAGGCGGAAUUCGUGGUGUAGCGGUGAAAUGCUUAGAUAUCACGAAGAACCCCGAUUGCGAAGGCAGCUUACUAAACUGCCACUGACAUUGAUGCUCGAAAGUGUGGGUAUCAAACAGGAUUAGAUACCCUUGUAGUC